CGCGGGGUGGAGCAGCCCGGUAGCUCGUCAGGCUCAUAACCUGAAGGUCACAGGUUCAAAUCCUGUCCCGCACCCA
rnacentral:tRNA from 1 species